rnacentral:rRNA from 3 species
AUAACGACUCUCGGCAACGGAUAUCUCGGCUCUCGCAUCGAUGAAGAACGUAGCGAAAUGCGAUACUUGGUGUGAAUUGCAGAAUCCCGUGAACCAUCGAGUCUUUGAACGCAAGUUGCGCCCCAAGCCUUUAGGCCGAGGGCACGCCUGCCUGGGUGUCACG